AAAUAAACCUGAUAGAAGUGGAAAUACUUUUUUGUUGCAGCGUUUCGACAAGCUCAGCAUGACCAUCACUAAAAAGAUUGCAACGAAUAGCAGGACUACCC
rnacentral:sRNA from 1 species